GGAGGGAUCAUUAAAGAGUUCUAUAACUCCCAAACCCAUGUGAACAUACCUAACGUUGCCUCGGCAGGUCGCACCUACCUUGUAGCACCCUACCCUGUAGGGCCUACCCGGGAGGUGCGGGUAAGCCUGCCGGCGGCCCACCAAACUCUGUUUGAUAUUGAAUUCUGAACCUAUAACUAAAUAAGUUAAAACUUUCAACAACGGAUCUCUUGGUUCUGGCAUCGAUGAAGAACGCAGCGAAAUGCGAUAAGUAAUGUGAAUUGCAGAAUUCAGUGAAUCAUCGAAUCUUUGAACGCAUAUUGCGCCCAUUAGUAUUCUAGUGGGCAGGACCGUUCGAGCGUCAUUUCAACCCUUAAGCCUUCGUUGCUUAGUGUUGGGAGCCUACGGCAACGUAGCUCCUCAAAGUUAGUGGCGGAGUUGGUUCACACUCUAGACGUAGUAAUUUUUUAUCUCGCCUAUUAGUUGGACUAAUCCCCUGCCGUAAAACCCCCAAUUUAUCAAGGUUGACCUCGAAUCGGUUCAGACAAACUCGCUAAAUUGAAGCAUCUUAGUCAGCGAAGGAAAAGAAACCAACAGGGAUUGCCCUAGUAACGGCGAGUGAAGCGGCAACAGCUCAAAUUUGAAAUCUGGCCCUCGGGUCCGAGUUGUAAUUU
rnacentral:rRNA from 1 species